rnacentral:rRNA from 1 species
AAUACUAGGUGUCAGGGGUAUCGACCCCCCUGGUGCCGCAGCUAACGCAAUAAGUAUUCCGCCUGGGGAGUACGGCCGCAAGGUUGAAACUCAAAGGAAUUGACGGGGGCCCGCACAAGCGGUGGAGCAUGUGCAUUAAUUCGUCACUAACCGAAGAACCUUACCAGGGUUUGACAUCUUCCGACAUCCCAUGAAAGUGGGCUUUCCCCGCAAGGGGACGGAAAGACAGGUGUUGCAUGGUUGUCGUCAGCUCGUGUCGUGAGAUGUUGGGUUAAGUCCCGCAACGAGCGCAACCCUCAUCCAAUGUUGCCAGCGUAAAGUCGGGAACUCUUUGGAAACUGCCCAUGUAAGUGGGAGGAAGGUGGGGAUGACGUCAAAUCGGCAUGGCCCUUACAUCCUGGGCUUGACACAUGCUACAAUGGCCGUUAAACAGAGCGACGCGAGACCGCGAGGUGGAGCCAAUCGCAAAAAUACGGUCUCAGUUCGGAUUGCAGGCUGCAACUCGCCUGCAUGAAGUCGGAAUCGCUAGUAACCGCAGGUCAGCUAAACUGCGGUGAAUACGUUCCCGGGCCUUGUACACACUGCCCGUCAAGUCACUUGAGUUGUCUGCAGCCGAAGUCGGUGGCUUAACCCGCAAGGGAGGGAGCUGACUAAGCUGUGG